GAAAUGCAAUAAUUAAUGUGAAUUGCAGAAUUCAGUGAAUCAUCGAGUCUUUGAACGCAUAUUGCGCCCCCUGGUAUUCCGGGGGGCAUGCCUGUCCGAGCGUCAUUGCUGCCCUCAAGCACGGCUUGUGUGUUGGGCUUCCGUCCCUGGCAACGGGGACGGGCCCAAAAGGCAGUGGCGGCACCAUGUCUGGUCCUCGAGCGUAUGGGGCUUUGUCACCCGCUCCCGUAGGUCCAGCUGGCAGCUAGCCUCGCAACCAAUCUUUUUAACCAGGUUGACCUCGGAUCAGGUAGGGAUACCCGCUGAACUUAAGC
rnacentral:misc_RNA from 1 species